rnacentral:lncRNA from 1 species
GAUGAGUAGUGACUCUAGAAGGGGCUGGUUGGAACCGGGGCUGAGGGUGAGGACUCUGGCAAGCUGCCACUCAAGAGAAGAUGCACGGAGUCUUGCAGAUUAGAAACAGACUACAGCAGGAGAUGCCUUCCACUGCCCACGGGAACAGUUCUUCUCAUCCCUUUUCUCGCAAAGGAAUAUCAUAGAAAAAAAAUUGAAAAAUACUUCCCCAUGUGAAGGAGCUUUGGUUCAGCUGCAGAGCUAAACUCACAUCUGCACUAGAUUGGAAUUGGCUGUGAAUGAUUACAAAUGAAAAUCUGUUGUUGCUGAAGGAUCUUAUUUGCAACAAAAGACAAGAACAGGAACAAAGAAAAUGCAACAUACAAUGCAGUAUUAGAACUUCAAAGGAAAACAAAAUGCAUGUUUACAGAAAGAGGAAAGCUGAAGGAAAUAAAACUCAGCACAAAAUAGAGCAACACUUGAAUGGCAACUGCUGGGAUGUACAAAGAGGAGACACAAAAUGGGAAGACAAGAUGCAUUUUUUUUAAAGGCAGG